rnacentral:rRNA from 1 species
UACAGGGGGCGCGAGCGUUGCUCGGAAUCACUGGGCGUAAAGCGAACGCAGGCGGACUGUUAAGUCGGGUGUGAAAGCCCGGGGCUCAACCCCGGAAUUGCAUUCGAAACUGGCAGUCUUGAGUACGGGAGAGGGGAGUGGAAUUCCUGGUGUAGCGGUGAAAUGCGCAGAUAUCAGGAGGAACACCGGUGGCGAAGGCGGGUCUCUGGGCCGAUACUGACGCUGAGGAGCGAAAGCGUGGGGAGCGAACAGG